rnacentral:lncRNA from 1 species
AAAGAAAAUGUACGAGUCCAGAACAUCUGAACAAUUAAUGAAUUGAAUUCAUACUACAGACAACAUGUUGAACGACAAAUUUUAGUGCACAUCAUUUUGCAACCAUUCGUCAGUAAUUUUUAUUGGUAAAUGCAAGUUUUUGAAUGAUUACUGAAAACUUUUCAAAAAUACGGAAAAUUUGAUAGUUUGUUACUGAUUGUCUCAAAAGGGGUUGGCAUCUAUGGAUUAUGUGAAAGGUUUUAAUUGGUUUGAUAUUUGGUUUCAAGUUAAGCUUUGUGAGUGCAGCUUAUUUUAAAAGACAAUUUUGACAAUUGCUUUAUUUUCUAAACAUCAAUAUCUUAAUUCUGAAAAACACUUUUUUGAGACAUGAAACAGCUGUUUCAGGUUCAUGUUAUACUUCUCCAAUUUAGUGUUUUUAUUUUUUGGGACAAAGAUACAGCUUCUUUCAAUAACAAGGAUUGUUUUCUCUCAUAGUUGAUGUGUUUAAAUUUAGUCCUGGUAUCUAUGAUGAGUUUAUUUACUAAUUUUUAGUCUGCACUCCAGUUUUGUUUUCUUUUAAAUGAUUGAUGACUUUUGAACAGCGGUAUACUGCUGUUGCCUUUAUGGAUAAAAGGCAUUUUUGUCUUUCAUUCUACAUAGACCUAACUUCUUCAAAUAACUAGGAUCUAAAAGUCGUCUUUGUCUUUCAUUCUACAUAGACCUAACUUCUUCAGAUAACUAGGAUUUAAAAGGCAUUUUUGUCUCUCACUCGUUUAGAAUUGGUUCAAAGUAGUCUCAUUUUAUCAUCACUCAGAGUUGAUCUCAGUUAAUCAGACCUCACCGUUUUAUUGACUUUUGUGUUCCGGUGUCUAUCCCUUUUAUUUUGGUGUGAAGAGAAUGGAAUUGAAUAUUUUGUCAUAGAUGAUUUAGUCAAAUUUGAGAUAUGUUUAUUUAAACUAGUUUCAGACUUGUUGCCUUUCAUAUUUCAGUUUUUAAAAUGAAGUUGAAAUUUGUUUGUGGUAAGAUACAGAUUGAACAGGGUUUUGGUCAAAGUUGACCAGACUUUAACAAAUGUGUGGCAAUUAAACUAGAAAUUUCAUCAUUUUUCAAAAAAAUGUUGGAUGCUUUUUGAAAGUCUUGAAAGAUAUUGUAAAAUGUAUUAGGUCACAAAAAUAAGAAUGAUGAUAAAAAUUGAAACAUUAAUAUUUUGUACAUAUUUCAUGUUAACUUUUGGUGCUAUUGAUCACAACUUCAUGAAUGAAUUUUUUCAAGCUUUUUCAUACUAUAUUUCCAAAUUAUAUGUUAAAUGUUGUUAGAAUCAUUUUAAUUGCUAAGACUUUUGAAAUGACCAGGGAAAGGAAGGGACCAUAUUUCAUACAGAAUAUUUGUCAUAUGUUUACACCAGUUUGACCACUUUAUUAGAGUCCUUACCAUUCCCAGAUUGAACAAAAUGUGAUACUGUGGAUUUAUUUAUUUUCGUGGAUACCAAUUUUUAGUGGUUUUGGGAAAAACUUGCAUUUUAUGAAUAUUUGAUUAAGGGAUUUUGGCAAAGACUGCAUGCAUUCUUUUAGCAAAUUUGUAAUUUGUUAAGUAUUUACAUUUGUGGUUUGCCUGUACCCACGAAAUCCACAAAGAUUGAUAUCCAACAAAUAUUAAUGAAUCCACAGCAUAUUUACAUCAUUUGAAUCUGAUGGUUAGAGAAUAAUCAAUUGAAUAUAUAUAUCAUAAGUUUUCCUCUUUCUCUAUGAUAUUUGAGUAGAUGUUUUUGCAAAUAGGAUAUGUUUUUCCAGCAUGUAUGCGUAAUACCUUUAAAAAAGAAGUUAAACAUUAACAUGAUUAAUAUUUACACAAAAGAUUAUUUUAAAAUUUUUAAAGGAGCUGUAAAUUAAAUAAUUUGAGUCUCAAUUAUAAGUGCUGUUUAUGAUAUUUUGUUUAAGAUAUAGUUUCAUUUUUGUAAUCUUUUUAUAAACAGAGUCAGAGAAGUUGCUUUAAGCCAUCUUCUCUCUAUAUAUACAUGGGUCUUUCGUUUUAAAAACCCUGAAUUAUAACACAUAGUGUUAACAAACGUCUUUCUGUUAUUAUUUUUCAAGAGUGAUAUAGUUUUUUGCUUUUUUACAGUUCUCGUUUGUCAAAAUGUUACAAUCCAUGACAUUUCUCAUCUGACUUCAAAGAAAUUAAGUUGUGCAAUAAUUAUUAAGGUUUUGUGGUGCAUAAAUAACCAUCAAAUAGAUUAAAUAGAGCAUUUUUAUUUUACUUCUUAAUGUACUUGAAAUGAAAGAUUAUGCUUCCCUUUGCUUCAUUUUCAUAAAUUGAUUCAUUUUUUUAGUUUAUUUUGUAUGUUCAAAUUUUCAAAAUAAUUAAUGCAAAAGAAACCCAGAAUAAAUAUUUAACAAUGAACACAAUUAGUUGUGAAUUCUGAAUAAUGCCUUUUGAUAAAUCAAAAAAACUUGUUAAUUUAUAUAUUAUGUGAAUUAGUCUUUCUUAUAAGUAAAUAGUCAAACUUGGUUAAACAUGAAAUGUUCAUAUCAAGUUAAUUGUGAUAUCAGAGUAGUAAUUAUAAUCUGUGUUUAGAGACCACUUAUGUCAGUACACCUUUCCUAUAUUGCCUAGUAAAUAUAAUCUGGUAUGGUGCUGCUCUGUGAUAGAGAAAAUUUUAUAUAGAUAAAGACUAUGAAAGUAAAAGUUAAAAUAUUGUACCAAACAUGUGUAUGAUUGAUGAAUAGUGUGGAAAUGACUAUAAACAUCAGAGUAGUAAUUAUAAUCUGGUUUGAUGCUGCUCAGUGAUAGAGAUAAUUUAUUUAGAAGAGACUGAAAAACAGUUGAAAUAUUGUACAAAACCUGUGUAUGAUUUAGUGUGGGAAACUUACAGUACACAGGAAUUGAUUGGUUUAAAGAUUAAAUUAGAUAGUGAAGAAAUUAUUAAAAACAUUAGUUUUGUCAGAAAUUUGGAUUAUUGUCAAUAUUUAAGCUCAUUAGACUUGAUUAGUGAACACAUGUAUGAUUUCUUUUUGAAUGUUUAACUAUUUUAAACCAACAAAAUUCUUUUAUUUUAUAAGUGUAUAGUUACUGUUAGUGAAAAAAUGGUUAUGUAUUCAUUGCAGAUAUAUAUUGAUGUAUUGUAUGUAUUGCUAAGCUUGUGAUUGUCAGUCUGUUUGUCAUUUUGUAAAUUCACAAACAUUUUGUGUUUAAAUGCUGUAUAAAUGCUCCUGCUUAUUUGUCCUAUGGUUAUCUUUGUCAUGUACCACACUGUGUGAUUGCAAGUAAUGUAAAUCAUGAAUAUUUUUUUUUACUUUCAUAAUGACUGUCUCUGCUUAUGUUUAAGGCGAGUUUUCUUUAAUCAUGAAAUAAUUUCACUAAUUUAAUGACGAUUUUAGUCAUGGGAAGUCCCACAUUUGCUCUCCUACUCUUGUAGUUGGUCUUAAAUAUUCUGACAUAGGUACUGUUUCCUCAAAUUUCGUUUUAAAAAAAAGUUUCAGAAUCUAUGUUGUAUUUUGCAAAGUUGACCUUGUGCAUUUUAUUUAGAAAAAUAUGGUAUCCAUUCAAAAUACAUUUUUAGAAUCGAAGCUUUUUAUUAUUACAAGAUUGACAAUGUGGGACUUUCUAUGAUUUCUGACCAUUUGUAUUCAUUUGAAAAUCAAAUAGUUUUGAAAAUUACAAGUGAAACAAUAUGUUUUCAUGUUAGUUUUUGAAAUCAAUUUAUCUGUAAAUGAGCAUCUUGCUGUUGCAUUUUACAUAACUGUAUUAUAGAUCAUAGAUCAAAGAAUGUUUGUUGUCUGAGAGAGAUUUUGUUUACCAUAUGUUUAAGUUUGAUGAUAGAUAUUAAAAAUAUU